rnacentral:lncRNA from 1 species
AGUUAUAGGGAGGGACUUAUGUCACCACAAACAGAAACUAAAGCAGGUGUUGGAUUUAAAGCUGGUGUUAAAGAUUAUAAAUUGACUUACUACACCCCAGAGUAUGAAACUAAGGAUACUGAUAUCUUGGCAGCAUCCCGAGUAAGUCCUCAGCUUGGGGUUCCGCCCGAAGAAGCAGGGGCUGCAGUAGCUGCCGAAUCUUCUACUGGUACAUGGACAACUAUUUGGACUGAUGGACUUACCAGUCUUGAUCGUUACAAAGGACGAUGCUAUCACAUCGAGCCUGUUGCUGGGGAAGACAGCCAAUGGAUCUGUUAUGUAGCUUAUCCAUUAGACCUAUUUGAAGAGGGUUCCGUUACUAACAUGUUUACUUCCAUUGUAGGUAACAUAUUUGGUUUCAAAGCCCUACGUGCUCUACGUUUGGAGGAUCUACGAAUUCCCCCUACUUAUUCAAAAACUUUCCAAGGCCCGCCUCAUGGUAUCCAAGUUGAAAGAGAUAAGUUGAACAAGUAUGGUCGUCCUUUAUUGGGAUGUACUAUUAAACCAAAAUUGGGAUUAUCCGCAAAAAAUUAUGGUAGAGCGUGUUAUGAGUGUCUACGUGGUGGACUUGAUUUUACCAAAGAUGAUGAAAACGUAAACUCACAACCAUUUAUGCGCUGGAGAGACCGUUUUGUCUUUUGUGCCGAAGCUAUUUAUAAAUCACAGGCCGAAACCGGUGAAAUCAAGGGGCAUUACUUGAAUGCGACUGCGGGUACAUGGACAACUGUUUGGACUGAUGGACUUACCAGUCUUGAUCGUUACAAAGGACGAUGCUAUCACAUCGAGCCUGUUGCUGGGGAAGACAGCCAAUGGAUCUGUUAUGUAGCUUAUCCAUUAGACCUAUUUGAAGAGGGUUCCGUUACUAACAUGUUUACUUCCAUUGUAGGUAACGUAUUUGGUUUCAAAGCCCUACGUGCUCUACGUUUGGAGGAUCUACGAAUUCCCCCUACUUAUUCAAAAACUUUCCAAGGCCCGCCUCAUGGUAUCCAAGUUGAAAGAGAUAAGUUGAACAAGUAUGGUCGUCCUUUAUUGGGAUGUACUAUUAAACCAAAAUUGGGAUUAUCCGCAAAAAAUUAUGGUAGAGCGUGUUAUGAGUGUCGACGUGGUGGACUUGAUUUUACCAAAGAUGAUGAAAACGUAAACUCACAACCAUUUAUGCGCUGGAGAGACCGUUUUGUCUUUUGUGCCGAAGCUAUUUAUAAAUCACAGGCCGAAACCGGUGAAAUCAAGGGGCAUUACUUGAAUGCGACUGCGGGUACAUGUGAAGAAAUGAUUAAGAGAGCUGUAUUUGCAAGAGAAUUAGGGGUUCCUAUUGUAAUGCAUGACUACUUAACUGGGGGAUUCACCGCAAAUACUACUUUGGCUCAUUAUUGCCGCGACAAUGGCCUACUUCUUCACAUUCACCGUGCAAUGCAUGCAGUUAUUGAUAGACAGAAAAAUCAUGGUAUGCAUUUCCGUGUAUUAGCUAAAGCAUUGCGUAUGUCUGGGGGAGAUCAUAUCCACUCCGGUACAGUAGUAGGUAAGUUAGAAGGGGAACGCGAAAUGACUUUAGGUUUUGUUGAUUUAUUGCGCGAUGAUUUUAUUGAAAAAGAUCGUGCUCGCGGUAUCUUUUUCACUCAGGACUGGGUAUCCAUGCCAGGUGUUAUACCGGUAGCUUUAGGUGGUAUUCAUGUUUGGCAUAUGCCAGCUCUGACCGAAAUCUUUGGGGACGAUUCUGUAUUACAAUUUGGUGGAGGAACUUUAGGACAUCCUUGGGGAAAUGCACCUGGUGCAACAGCUAAUCGAGUGGCUUUAGAAGCCUGUGUACAAGCUCGUAACGAAGGGCGCGAUCUUGCUCGCGAAGGUAAUGAAAUUAUCCGAGCAGCUUGCAAAUGGAGUCCUGAACUAGCCGCAGCUUGUGAAGUAUGGAAGGCGAUCAAAUUCGAGUUCGAGCCGGUAGAUACUAUUGAUAAGUAGAUAAAACUAAAGAUAAAGAAGAGAAGGUAUAAAUAAAAAAGAAACGAAAUAAAAAGAGAAAAAAAUAAGUUAUGAAAUGCAGUAAUUCUUCUUUAUUCUUCUAAUUGAUUGCAAUUAAACUCGGCUCAAUCUUUUUUUUUCUAAAAAAGAUUGAGCCGAAUAAAAAUAGAUCAUGAUAUGAUCAUGAGACUUGACAAAUCGAGAUUCGUCUAUUCUAUAUAUCUAGAGUAUAUAUAUUAAGGUAUAAUACAAUAAAGAAAUACAAAUAAAAUAAUAAAAUAUAGUAUUAUCAUAUGAUAAUGGAAUCAAAUAUGCAGUAUUUACAGAAAAAAGCCUUCGUUUAUUGGGAAAGAAUCAAUAUACUUUUAAUGUCGAAUCGGGAUUCACUAAGACAGAAAUAAAGCAUUGGGUCGAACUCUUCUUUGGUGUUAAGGUGGUAGCUGUGAAUAGCCAUCGACUACCUGGAAAAGGUAGAAGAAUAGGAACUAUUCUGGGCCAUACAAUGCAUUACAGACGUAUGAUCAUUACCCUUCAACCGGGUUAUUCUAUUCCACUUCUAGAUAGAGAAAAAAACUAAAGGAGAAUGAAUGAAAAAAGACAUAGUUUGGAAGUUAGACCUUUUUAUAGGACUCUCUUUCAAUUUCAAAAAAGAGGACGUUUGAAACUUUUAACAGGCAUAAUCGUGAGUCAACAAGUGACUCAAACUGUGUGUAAAAAAAGAAGCAUUUUUUACAGAAUAUUUUUCAAACUAAAAAUAAAAAAUACAAUACAAUAGUCAAUAUUCCUUAUAAUAGAUAUACUUAAUUAUAUCAUAAGAAUCUUAAGAUAUUUUUCGACUAGAUAGAAAUAGUAAAUUUGAAUUGAGACACCUAUUCCAUGACGGAUUUAAACUUAACUUCUAUUUUCGUGCCUUUAGUAGGCUUAGUAUUUCCGGCAAUUGCAAUGACUUCUUUAUUUCUUUAUGUGCAAAAAAAUAAGAUUGUCUAGUAUUUUUUAGUGUAAGUAAUAUAAUAUGGUAGGGUAUGUGGCUUUUUCUACACACACUUUCUACACACAAAUGAAAAACGGUUAUGGAUGCGGAUAUAGGCUACGAGCAUAAAUGCAUGAAUAUGCAGAGCCAGGUAUAGCGAGUUUUAUUUUAUUUAUUUUAAUUGAAUCAACGAAUAUUUUUUGAAUAGAAAGUCAAUGUAUCUAACCUAUUAUUUCACAGGAGUACUAGUUGCUGAAGGCGAUUUCAGAAUCAAAAAAAGUGAAGUCAAAAUUAUUUAGCUUAUUCUCUCAAUUUCAAUCGACCGCUGCUGGAUUUAGUAUAUCUAAUAUGAAUUGGCGAUCAGAACACAUAUGGGUAGAACUUCUAAAAGGUUCUCGAAAAAGGGGUAAUUUUUUCUGGGCCUGUAUUCUUUUUCUAGGUUCACUAGGAUUCUUAUCGGUUGGGAUUUCCAGUUAUCUUGGUAAGAAUAUUAUAUCUAUACUUCCAUCUCAAGAAAUUCUUUUUUUUCCGCAGGGGGUCGUGAUGUCUUUCUACGGAAUCGCAUGCCUAUUCAUUAGCUCCUACUUGUGGUGUACUAUUUUGUGGAAUGUAGGUAGUGGUUAUGACCGAUUCGAUAGAAAAGAGGGAAUAGUGUGCAUUUUUCGUUGGGGAUUCCCUGGAAUAAAACGUCGCGUCUUCCUUCGAUUCCUUAUGCGAGAUAUCCAAUCAAUUAGAAUUCAGGUUAAAGAGGGUCUUUAUCCUCGUCGUAUUCUUUUUAUGGAAAUCCGGGGCCAGGGGAUCAUUCCCUUGACUCGUACUGAUGAUAAAUUUUUUACUCCACGAGAAAUUGAACAAAAAGCUGUCGAAUUGGCCUAUUUCUUGCGCGUACCAAUUGAAGUAUUUUGAGGUAUCUUUUUUGAACUGAGUUGAAUGAAGAAAAGAAGAAUUGGAAGAAGAAAAGUUUUCUCAACACGGGGAGGAAGUCCCUUCUAAAUUGGGUUUGUUAUUGUAAGGGGAUUUUUAAGUAUUUAUCUAAAGGAAGGAACAAACGAGGAUAAGAGAAAUUUGCUUUUAAUUUUUUUAUCCAAGUGAGAUAUAUCGCAUACUAUUCUUCCUUUUUCAUCCGAAAGGGCUUUUUUAUUCUAUUUCACUAUUUCAUUCCAUCUAGAUCUAAGAAAGAACCCAAUGCACUGAAAUUCCACUAAUAACUAAUAUACAAAAAAGAAGAAUAGAUACAGGGUAUCAAACCUAUAGAGUUUUUGCUUCAAAGAAAUAGAAAUAUCAUGAAAUAGAAAUAUCAUCAUAUAGAGUCAGGGAAUGGAAUAGAGUCAGCGAAUGAAGCAUAUUCAUUAACAACUCCAUUUACAGAUCAAAAAUGAAAAAAAAGAAAGCAUUGCCUUCUUUACUAUAUCUUGUAUUUAUCGUACUUUUGCCUUGGGGGGUCUCUUCCUCAUUUAACAAAUGUCUGGAACUUUGGAUUAAGAAUUGGUGGAAUACCAGGCAAUCCGAAACUCUCUUAACUGAUAUUCAAGAGAAAAGGAUUCUAGAAAGAUUCAUAGAAUUAGAAGAACUGUCUCUCUUGGACGAGAUGAUAAAAGGGAAACUAAAGACACAUGUACAAAAACCUCCUACAGGAAUACACAAGGAAAUAAUACAAUGGGUCAAAAUAAAUAAUGAGGAUCAUCUCCAUACCAUUUUGCAUUUCUCGACAAAUAUAAUCUGUUUGGCUAUUCUAAGUGGUUCUUUUUUUCUGGGUAAAGAGGAACUUGUCAUUUUGAAUUCUUGGGUUCAGGAAUUCUUCUAUAAUUUAAAUGACUCAAUAAAAGCUUUUUUUAUUCUUUUAGUUACUGAUUUUUUUGUUGGAUUUCACUCCACCCGUGGUUGGGAACUAGUAAUUCGUUGGGUCUACAACGAUUUUGGAUGGGCUCCUAACGAGCUUAUUUUCACUAUUUUUGUUUGUAGUUUUCCAGUAAUUCUAGAUACAUGUUUGAAAUUUUGGGUCUUUUUUUUGUUUAAACCGUCUAUCUCCUUCGCUUGUAGUCAUUUAUCAUUCAAUUAGUGAAGCAUAAAUUCAUUCGAUCUCCCGAUAUUAAUAUUAAUCAAAUUAGCAAGCAUCUUUUUUAGAAAGAAAGCCCUUUUCCAUUUUAGCAAAAUUCUUUCUAUUUAUACCUACUUUAAGGUAUUCAUCAUUGCAGUACAACUGUUGCAGUAGAAUGACAACAGAUUCGUGUAUAGAGAACUAGAUUAGCUUAGCUACCUAUCUAAUUUAUUGUAGAAAUUCUGGGAUCUGCGAUUGGACAUGGAAAAUAGAAAUACUUUUUCUUGGGUAAAGGAACAGAUAACUCGAUCGAUUUCUGUAUCGAUCAUGAUAUACGUAAUAACUCGGACAUCUAUUUCAAAUGCAUAUCCCAUUUUUGCGCAGCAGGGUUAUGAAAACCCACGAGAAGCAACUGGACGAAUUGUAUGUGCCAAUUGCCAUUUAGCUAGCAAGCCCGUCGAUAUUGAAGUUCCCCAAGCUGUGCUUCCCGAUACUGUAUUUGAAGCAGUUCUUCGAAUUCCUUAUGAUAUGCAAUUGAAACAAGUUCUUGCUAAUGGAAAAAAGGGAGGGUUGAAUGUAGGUGUUGUUCUUAUUUUGCCCGAGGGAUUCGAAUUAGCGCCGCCGAUCGUAUUUCCCCUGAGUUAAAAGAAAAGAUAGGAAAUCUUGCUUUUCAGAGUUAUCGUCCCGAUAAAAAAAACAUUCUUGUGAUAGGCCCUGUUCCCGGUAAGAAAUAUAGUGAAAUUGUCUUUCCCAUUCUUUCCCCUGAUCCUGCUACGAAGAAAGAUGCUCAUUUCUUAAAAUAUCCCAUAUAUGUAGGGGGAAACCGAGGAAGAGGACAGAUCUAUCCUGAUGGUAGCAAGAGUAACAAUACAGUCUAUAAUGCUACGUCAACAGGUAUAGUAAGAAAAAUACUACGUAAAGAAAAAGGGGGGUAUGAAAUAUCCAUAGUUGAUGCAUCAGAUGGACGCCAAGUGAUUGAUAUUAUACCUCCCGGACCAGAACUUCUUGUUUCAGAGGGGGAAUCCAUCAAGCUUGAUCAACCAUUAACAAGCAAUCCUAAUGUGGGAGGUUUUGGUCAGGGGGACGCAGAAAUCGUGCUUCAGGAUCCAUUACGUGUCCAAGGCCUUUUCUUCUUCUUCGCAUCCAUUAUUUUGGCACAAGUUUUUUGGUUCUCAAAAAGAAACAGUUUGAAAAGGUUCAAUUGUACGAAAUGAAUUUCUAGGUCUCGCGAUUUCUUACCAUCAAGUUGGUAAAAAGCCUCGAUUUAUUGGCAAUUGCUAGAAUUAUCUAUGAUCUAUUUUGGAAAUCCUUUUUUGUUUAGACUAUUUUUUGUUUAUGAGAUGUCUGGAAUUCCUUAUUUAUAUCCCAUGCAAAAGAAGAGAAUCCAAGGCAAAGGCGAGAACAAUAAAAUUAAAUUUUCUUCCUUUUUGGAGGGAUUGCAGGUCUUCUUAAUCGUCUAUUCGGCACAAGAAAAAGGCUUUUUCUUGUGCCGAUUCUUCUUGUAUCAAAAUAAGAAUCCUUUUUCUUCCUAAUUCGUCAAAGAUUACUAUUUCUUCUUUAUUCGGGUCUGUCUCUUGGACCUCUUUUUCUUUUGCUUAGGUUUAGCCGAGGUAGUGGAAAAACAGAGGGGAAGAAAAUAUGGCGGGGGACAAAUUUCUUGUGAUUGUGAACAAAUAGAAUUGCUUGGCUUGUUUAAUUAAGUUUAACUUCAAAUUUACAGAAAUUUUGCAAAAAAAAAGUAAACUCUUCCAUUGAAGGUUUUUUUUAGGCUAGUUGAAUAGUUUUGAUUAAGGUUUUAUUAGUUUAUUACUCGAAACUAAAUCAAGGAUUUUCAGGAUACUUCCUUCGUGGAAUAAGAUAUUGGAUCCUCGAGUGAUCUCUUUUUCUUGUUGCUUCAUAAGAGUGAAUCGAAUAGAAUCAAUUCGCGUUAUAAGAGUAAAAAUUCCGCGGGUCCUUUCCGCUCUAAUCAGAUAAAGGGGGGUAAGGACCCGCUAAGCUCCUACUUUUUCAUGUUUACAAUCUGGUCCCUCCGAUUACUAUCGAGAUGAACCCAAUCCAGAAUAUGAACCAUAAAAGAAAACACCUACUAAACCAAUCACAGCAAUACCGGCUACAGUACCUAUCAGCCAAAGAGGAAUUCUUCCAGUAGUAUCGGCCAUUUCCCCUACUUUCCUCCACAUUUUAUCAAUUGGUCAUGCUAGAGACAAAAACAUUCAUGAGUAGUUAUAAGGACGGUAUCCUUCCAAAUGGGAUAAGAGAAUUCUUAUUAGUCUCUUUCUUUCUCUCAAUUGAAGAAGUAAUUGGAAAAUAAAACAGCAAGUACAAAAAUGAGUAAUAAACCCCAGUAUAGACUGGUACGAUUCAAUUCAACAUUUUGUUUCAUUCGGGUUUGAUUGUGUCAUAGUUCUAUAGUUGGAAUUUGGUUUAUCGUUGGAUGAACCGCAUUGCUGAUAUUGAUCCCAAGAAAAAAACAGUAGGUACAGCUAGUCCGUGAAUAGCCAGCCAUCGCACUGUGAAAAUAGGAUAGGUUCGAUCUAUGGUCAUUGAGGGCCUCCUAAAAGGAUCUACUAAAUUCAUCGAGUUGUUCUAAAGAAUCAAAACGGUCGGUUAUUAACGGAAUUCCUUGUCGGCUUUCCGUGAAAUACUCGUUUGGCCUAGGACUUCCAAACACGUCAUAAGCUAAACCCGUACUGACAAAUAACCAACCCGCAAUGAAUAGGGAAGGUAUAGUAAUGCUAUGAAUAACCCAGUAUCGAAUACUGGUAAUAAUAUCAGCAAAAGAACAUUCUCCCAUGCUUCCAGACAUGCUGAACUCCCAAAAUUUUUGUACAUUCAAAAAAGGAAUUGAUUCCGUAAAAGAUGGGAUCGACCAGUAAAUAGAAAAUUACUGAUAUUUCAUCCUUAUGAGAUUGUCAAUUUUCUACCAAAGGUGUAUUUUGAGUAUACCGAAUUAGUAUAGCUAUCCUUCCUGUGGCACAACAAUCUGGUUUUGCCUGGUUCCGAAACAUAAUUACUUUUUUAUUUUUUUUAUUUUUUGUCUAUAGGUAAGCUAUAUGUUAUUCAAGGCAUCAAUAGAAAACCCCAUUUUUGUAGGUUCUACUUACCUUUCAUUGGCUUCGGAAUAAUAGAGUAAUUCGGAAUAGCAGCCAAAAUCUUGGGAAAAUCUAAGUUAAUGAUCAAUAGGUUUGGAUAAAUAAUUUAGGAAGGAUAUUCUCAUACUGACACAAUACAAGGACAAGUAUAUGUGAAAUCUAUCCUUUCAUAAUUCGUAAUUAAUCCUUGUAUUGUUUGUUGGAUUAGGCCUAACUUUCUUGACCAAACUACGAGCGCGGAACUUUACGAGAUGAAAUAGGGAAAGACAGAAGAUAGAAUAGAACUUAAAAGGAUAAUUGAAGUGACUUGUCUUCGAAUCUACUUUGGUUGGAGUUCGAAAAAGGAAUAAAAAUAAAGUAAAUUCAAGGAAGAGCUUUCUUUUUUUAACAGCCCCUUGGCAGGUCGUGGAAUGCUUUUGUUCUCCUCUUAUUCCAUAUGGAAUACAAUCAGUUAAAAUAAGAAGGAAUAGGGGAAUAUUCGAUCGUUCACUCCAAAAAGAGGGUCCUAUUGAAAAAGAAAUUAUCCAAAAUAGAAAGAAGUUUUUUUUUCAAUUCAAUUGUUUAUUUAUCUCUUAUUCAAAAGUUUCCUUGAAAAUCGAAUUUCAUUUUUUCAUUCAAUGGGGUUAGAUGAUCUAGUUCUUAAUAUUAUUACUUUACUCAAUUGACAAAUUCCACAACAAAUCUCUUGAUUCAGAAUUAGGGACUCAUGUAUCAUCUGAUGAAUCCACUUUCUUUUACACUUCUGUAUCUUACUCUAUCUUGUUUUUUAGUAUUAUCUAAAAUAACUGAUGAAUUAUGAAUUUUCCAUAACUUAGGUAAAUGCUUUACCAACAUAUGUAGUGUAGUAAAAAAAAUGGAAUUUAACUCUUUCAUGCUUACUUUAACUAGUUAUUUUGGUUUUCUACUGGCUGCUUUAACUAUAACCCCAGCUCUAUUUAUUGGCUUGAACAAGAUACACCUUAUUUGAAUUGACUGAAUAAUUAUAAUUCAGAAAAGAAAAAUCUUUCUUUGGGAUUCCUGGCAUUCUACGACUCUUUUCCAGACUAAUUAGGAAUUCUUUUCUUGGUCAUUGAGAUUCGUGGAUAAUUUAGAGUACUAUUUAGGGAUAGAUCGUACCUCUUUUUUUAUCCCCUCGAACAAAUCGAAAUGAUUGAAGUUUUUCUAUUUGGAAUCGUCUUAGGACUAAUUCCUAUUACUUUAGCGGGAUUAUUCGUGACUGCGUAUUUGCAAUACAUGCGUGGGGGUCAGUUGGAUCUUUGAUUGAGUCAUUUUUUUUGAUUGACCUCCUCCAGACCAGAGAGGAGGUCAAAUUGAAAUUGGAGUUACAAUUCAAUUUUGUUAAGUUAUUUUACUCUGCUUCGACAUAAGAUAGAUGGAAUCACGCUCUGUAGGAUUUGAACCUACGACAUCGGGUUUUGGAGACCCGCAUUCUACCGAACUGAACUAAGAGCGCUUUCAUUCAUUCAAAAAGAAAAUAUUUUUCUAUUCCUAAUGUAUCUCACGUACGUAUAGUCUCCACAAAUUCAAGUUAUACCCACUUUACUUUAAUUGAUCUCGUCGCUACUUCCUAUAAAGAAGAAAGAAGUAAUAGGUAGGGAUGACAGGAUUUGAACCUGUGACAUUUUGUACCCAAAACAAACGCGCUACCAAGCUGCGCUACAUCCCUUUUCGAAAUUAAAUUGUUGUACAAUGCCAUUGUACACAAUUCCUGUCUUCUUUUCCACAUCAUAAUUUUCUUGUUCUUUCUAUUUUCUUCUUCUUUCUUUCUCUAUCUAUAUAUAGAACCCUCAUGUCAUUUCUUCUUUUUGGUCUCAUAUAAUUAAGGAAUUAUAUACAUAUAAAAUCCAAUAUAAUUUGGCCUAUAAAAGAAGGAUUACUUUUCCUUGGUAAUAUAUAGGAAGAAGGGGUCAUCUUUUUCUUUUUUAGGGAUAGGAAAAUUUCGUCGAUAUGGUUCAUUUUAUAUAUAGCAUAACAAUCUUGGGCAAGAGUUUAUGAUCAUAUAUGUAUUCCAACAAGGAAGGAGGAUUUUCAAUGCGGGAUAUAAAAACAUAUCUCUCUGUAGCACCCGUGCUAAGUACUCUAUGGUUUGGUGCUUUAGAAGGUUUAUUGAUAGAAAUUAAUCGUUUAUUCCCAGAUGCUUUGUCAUUCCCUUUUUUUAAUUCUAGUUAUUGCUAUGGAAGGGAUAGAUUUCUUCGUGAUAUGACAAAAUUUGAUCCUUUUCAAUCUUUUUUUAGUAUCGGAAGGAAAAGGAAAGAAAAGAUGGAUUGGGUUGAACCUCAGAGUCAUUAAAAAUUUGGUAAACCCCAUUUUUGAAAAUAGAAAUUCAAUUUAAAGGGGUACCCAAGCUAAAUAAGGCCUCAGAAAUUAGAGCAUAGAAAAGGCGGGGCUGGCUAAUUAAAUGAAAGGAUUUCGAACCAAAAUCUUUGCUAAUUCAACAAGGAUUGUAUUCUUUAAUUAUUUCUCUAUUUUUUAUUACUUAAUUUAAGAAUAAAAAAAAUAUUCUAAUGAAUUUUAUUCUUCUUCUUCGGAUUCAAAAUAGAAGAAUGAAAGAAUAAGUAGAAUAAUUAAGUUAAGUCAAUCCAAAAAGAAAAGGAGGUUCAUGGCCAAGGGAAAAGAUGUUAGAAUCAGAGUUAUUUUGGAAUACAUCAGUUGUGUUCAAAAAGGUGCCAAUGAGGAAUCGACGGGGAUUUCUAGAUACAGUACUCAAAAGAAUCGCCACAAUACACCCGGACAAUUAGAAUUCAAAAAUUUUUGUCGUUAUUGUCGCAAGCAUAUGACUCAUCACGAAAUAAAGAAAUAGGAACAUCGUGUGUUCGAUCUUUCCAAACAACAGAAAGAGUAAGAACUUCAUAUUCAAUAUAUAAAGAAAACAUAGUAUAGAAUACAAAAUACAAAUCAACUCAUCUGAUUUCCGGUAGAUAUUAUUUCAUAUGUAUAGAGGGUAUUCAUAUACUAUAAUAUGAAUCAAAUAAGAUAUGGAUCAAAGAAAAACUACUUCUUCUGGAUCCUAAAUUAAUAAAAUAAAGAAGUGAAUUUUCAAAUUUUCAAAUUUUAAAUAAGGAAUAAAUCAUGUAUACAUCUAAACAACCUUUUCUUAAAUCUAAGCAACCCUUUAGUAAAUCCAAGCAAAAUUUUAAUAAAUCCAAGCAACCCUUUCGUAAAUCCAAGCAAACUUUUCGUAAAUUCAAGCAACCUUUUCGUAAAUCUAAACAACCUUUUCGUAGGCGUCCUCGGAUUGGCCCGAGAGAUCGAAUUGAUUAUAGAAACAUGAGUUUAAUUAAUAGAUUUAUUAGUGAACAAGGAAAAAUAUUAUCGAGACGAAUAAAUAGAUUAACCUUGAAACAACAACGAUUAAUUACUCUUGCUAUAAAACAUGCUCGUAUUUUAUCUUUCUUACCGUUUCGUAACUAUGAGAACGAAAAGCAAUUUCAAGCCCAGUCAAUUUCAAUAAUUACAGGUUCUAGACCCAGAAAAAUAGACAUAUUCCUCAAUUAACGCAAAAGUACAAUUCCAACCGAAACUUAAGAAACAACAACCAAAAUUUAAGAAACAACAACCGGAACUUAAGUUCUGAUUGUUGAUGUUUUAUUCGAAUUCGAAAGGGCCAGACCUAUAUAUAUUAUAAAGAAAGUAAUCCAGCUUGUUGAUUCCUACCACUUAAUCUUAAUUUAUUGUAUCUUCCCGGAGUUCCCUCUCCGGGAAUUCAUCUUUUUUUAUUCCAGUAUAUUACUUUAUUUAUACUUUUAAUUGAUGAUCUUUAUUUUAUUGGAAAUCGUGUAAAGAUUAUUUGGAUUUGAUACAGCUACUUGUGCAAGCAUUUUACGAUUAAGAAUGAAUUUCUUCUUGUACAGGUUGUGUAUUAAUUUACUAUAACUAUCGAAUACUUUAUAUACCCGCGUUGCUGCAUUUAUCUGAGUGAUCCACAAACGACGAAAAUCCCUCUUUUGCCUACCUCUAUCUCGAUGAGAGGAAACAAAAGCUCUUUUUACCUGUUGGGUAAUCAUUCGAUUAAGUCUUAAAUGAGCCCCUCUAAAGUUUGAGGCAAAUGAACGCAUUUUUGUUCGUCGUCUCCGGGCUAUAUAUCCUCGCGGAACUCUGGUCAUUGAAUCAAAUUAACCUUAAUGAAUAACUAAUGAUUUCUCUUCUUUUAGCCACCCUUUUUCUCAUUAAUAACAAAACUAAUUAUUCCGAUAUAUAAAAUAUUAAUUCCAAUGGCUUUUGCUAUAGUAACCUUCCCAACCACGAUUUUUUAUUCCACUCCGUUUAGUUAUUUCUAUACGAAAUAACAAAUUCAUUCUAAUAAUACUAAAAAAAAUAGUGGGUUCCAUCGUUUCUAUGGUUCCCUUUUAAACGGUGAGGCCCUCUCUAUACACCAGAGCCCUUUCUUUCAUCAAAAGGUAUUGCGAACUUGUAUAGUCCACAUUCUUUGGCUCUACCUAUCCAUUAUAGAGUAAAUAGCUCUUUUCACAAUAAGAGUUAUCCAUACAGUGACGGUAUUUAAUUAUGAAAGUUGGCUAAGUAGCUGACCCUGUUAGUCCGUUCUUUUAAGAUAAAGGAGCAUAAGCCUUUUUCUUUUUAUUACUAUUUCCUCCGCUUAAUGGAUAACCAUUUGCUACCAAUGGGAGAAUUGCUUCUUAUUUCCAAUUUAGAUAAUUGGAUUUGCACCAAAGGAAACCAUAAAUUCCAUAUACCAUAGAAAUCUAGGAUAGAGAAGCUAUAUCCUAUUCAUUGGUACUAAUCAUGGAUACUUCAAUUUUUUUAUAUUUGUUUGAAGUCAUGAUCUGAACGAGUCGCACAUACACCCUAGCACAUGUUCCUCGAUGCUGAGGGCAUCCUUUAAGCGCGGUCGUUUUUCGAGCAUUUCGUAUUGGCUGUCUUGCGUUUCUAAUAAGUUGUUUAACCGUCGGCAUGUUGUAUGUAUAUAGAAAAAAAUGGAUUGGUUUAGAUCCAUCUUAACCUGAUGAUUGCUCAUCAUGAAGUCUUUCUAUUUUCUAUUAAAUCGAGGAAAACACGAAUUUAGCUGUGAAAUAACUUUACAAGAAAUCCGGACACUACCAAUCCUUAAACAUUUCCGGAAACCACACUGGAUCAGUAUCGCAGUGCUUGUCAAUCAUUUCAUCCCCUACAAUAUCGACAAGUCCAUAAGCUUUGGCUUCGUCUGCUGACAUAAAAACAUCCCUUUCCAUGUCUUCGGAUACAACCCAAAAAGGCUUGCCUGUUCUUACUGCAUAAACCCUUGUGAUCAUUUCACGAACUUUGUGUAACUCUUCUACUUCUAGUAAAAAUUCUGGUGUCCUUGCCCGAUAAUAAGCACUAGCAGGUUGGUGAAGCAUAAUCCUCGCGUGAGGGAAUGCUAUACGCUUGGUGGGUUCUCCUCCAAGCAGAAUGAAGGAUGCCAUGGAGGCGGCUAUUCCGAGGCAUAUUGUAUAUAUAUCUGGUGUCACCGUUUGCAUCGUAUCAAAAAUAGCCAUUCCUGAGAUUAGCCACCCGCCGGGGGAAUUUAUAAACAAAAAAAUAUCACUAAUUCCAUCUUCUAUACUCAGAUAUACCAUGAGACCUGUAAUAUGAUUCGUGAUCUUGCAACGAAUCUCUUGACCUAAAAAAAGUGUCCUUUCUCGAUACAUAACAUUGUAUAAGUCAACCCAAGUCGCUUCUUCAUCUCCAGGAAUCUGGUAAGGUACUUUUGGAACACCAAUGGGCAUAUUAGAUUAAUAUUAUUAAAUUUAAGUAAGAAAACCACACUUUAAUAUGGAAACGUAAGAAUGGAACAGAAAGAAAGAAUCCGCAGUUUAUUGUCUUAAUUUUUAUUCUUAUUCUAUAUGAAUACUAUAGAUUCUAUUAAUACAUAGAUUGAAAGGUUAUACAUAUAAGGAAUGUAAGACAGAUUGAAUAAAGAAAAAGGAAUGGGUGAUUCGAAUGCUAAACAAAGAGGGGUAGCGAUCUAUUCUUCGUUUUUUCCAAAUUGGCCAAGUUACCCAUUGCACAUUAGCACUUAUCGAGUAUAGAAUAGAUCUGCUUCUCUUUCUUCUUAUGAACAGAAUUGGCUUCUUAUUUUUAAUGGAAUGAAAUAAAUAUUCGCGCUUUCUGACACAGAAUCCCCUAGAAGGGUUAGGUACAUAGGAUAUGGAUAGUCUUUUUCAAUGCGAUAAAAUAAAGCGACAUCGUGUCUAUUUUUCUUUGCUAAAGGGGUAUUUCCAUGGGUUUGCCUUGGUAUCGUGUUCACACUGUCGUAUUGAAUGAUACGGGUCGAUUGCUUGCGGUGCAUAUAAUGCACACAGCUCUAGUUUCUGGUUGGGCUGGCUCAAUGGCUUUAUAUGAAUUAGCAGUUUCUGAUCCCUCUGAUCCUGUUCUGGAUCCAAUGUGGAGACAAGGUAUGUUCGUAAUUCCCUUCAUGACUCGUUUAGGAAUAACGGAUUCGUGGGGUGGUUGGAGUAUUUCAGGAGGAACUGUAACAAAUCCGGGUAUUUGGAGUUAUGAAGGUGUGGCAGGUACGCAUAUUGUGUUUUCUGGCUUGUGUUUCUUGGCAGCGAUCUGGCAUUGGGUAUAUUGGGACCUAGAAAUAUUCUCUGAUGAGCGGACGGGAAAACCCUCUUUGGAUAUGCCCAAGAUCUUUGGAAUUCAUUUAUUUAUUGCAGGGGUGGCUUGCUUUGGCUUUGGGGCAUUUCAUGUAACGGGUUUGUAUGGUCCUGGGAUAUGGGUAUCCGAUCCUUAUGGACUAACUGGAAAAGUACAAGCUAUAAAUCCAGUGUGGGGUGCAGAAGGUUUUGUUCCUUUUGUUCCGGGGGGAAUAGCUUCUCAUCAUAUUGCUGCGGGUACAUUGGGUAUAUUAGCGGGCUUAUUCCAUCUUAGUGUCCGUCCGCCUCAACGUCUAUAUAAAGGAUUACGUAUGGGCAAUAUUGAAACUGUACUUUCUAGUAGUAUCGCUGCUGUUUUUUUGCAGCUUUCGUAGUUGCUGGAACUAUGUGGUAUGGGUGAGCAACGACCCCAAUCGAAUUAUUUGGGCCUACUCGUUAUCAGUGGGAUCAGGGAUACUUUCAGCAAGAAAUAUAUCGAAGAGUUAGCAAUGGUUUAGCCGAAAAUCUUAGUUUAUCAGAAGCUUGGUCUAAAAUUCCCGAAAAUUAGCCUUUUAUGAUUAUAUUGGUAAUAAUCCGGCAAAAGGGGGAUUAUUCAGAGCAGGCUCAAUGGACAAUGGGGAUGGAAUAGCUGUUGGAUGGUUAGGACAUCCCGUCUUUAGAGAUAAAGAAGGACGUGAGCUUUUUGUACGCCGUAUGCCUACUUUUUUUGAAACAUUUCCGGUUGUUUUGGUAGAUGAGGAGGGAAUUGUUAGAGCAGACGUUCCUUUUAGAAGAGCAGAAUCCAAAUAUAGUGUUGAACAAGUAGGCGAACUUAAUGGAGUAAGUUAUUCUGAUCCUGCUACUGUAAAAAAAUAUGUGAGGCGUUCUCAAUUAGGGGAAAUUUUUGAAUUAGACCGGGCUACUUUGAAAUCUGAUGGUGUUUUUCGCAGCAGUCCAAGGGGUUGGUUCACUUUUGGUCAUGCUACCUUUGCUUUGCUCUUCUUUUUCGGACACAUUUGGCAUGGCGCUAGAACAUUGUUCCGAGAUGUUUUUGCUGGUAUUGAUCCAGAUUUGGAUGCUCAAGUGGAAUUUGGAACAUUCCAAAAAGUGGGAGAUCCAACUACAAGGAAACAGGCAGCCUGAUACACAUUGUUAUAGUAUCUCUCACCUCUCUUUUUUGAUUUGACAUGGGAAACAUCUCCCAUCCUUUCUUUGACUCUUUUUCUUUCUUUAUAUGGGAAAUUAUCCCAAAUGACAAAUGAAUAGGUGUGGAAGUUAUAAUUGUAAAUAAACCAGGAUCGAAUCUAUGGAAGCAUUGGUUUAUACGUUCCUUUUAGUUUCGACUUUAGGGAUAAUUUUUUUUGCUAUCUUCUUCCGAGAACCACCUAAGGUUCCACCAACUCCAACUAAAAGAAUAAAAUAAUUUCAUUUAAGUAAGAAGUCUCCCAGAUAGGGGGACUUCUUACUUAAAUUAGUCUCCGUGUUCUUCGAAUGGAUCUCUUAAUUGUUGAGAGGGUUGCCCAAACGCGGUAUAUAAGGCAUACCCAGUAAAGCUUACAAGUAAACCAGAUAUGGAGAUGGCGACUAAAGUUGCUGUUUCCAUUUUUAUAGAAUUUCAAGAUUACAAUGGAUCUACGAAAAGAUCGUGUAUUUACAACUACAAGGAAACAGGCAGCCUGAUACACAUUGUUAUAGUAUCUUUCACCUCUCUUUUUUGAUUUGACAUGGGAAACAUCUCCCAUCCUUUCUUUGACUCUUUUUCUUUCUUUAUAUGGGAAAUUAUCCCAAAUGACAAAUGAAUAGGUGUGGAAGUUAUAAUUGUAAAUAAACCAGGAUCGAAUCUAUGGAAGCAUUGGUUUAUACGUUCCUUUUAGUUUCGACUUUAGGGAUAAUUUUUUUCGCUAUCUUCUUCCGAGAACCACCUAAGGUUCCACCAACUCCAACUAAAAGAAUAAAAUAAUUUCAUUUAAGUAAGAAGUCUCCCAGAUAGGGGGACUUCUUACUUAAAUUAGUCUCCGUGUUCUUCGAAUGGAUCUCUUAAUUGUUGAGAGGGUUGCCCAAACGCGGUAUAUAAGGCAUACCCAGUAAAGCUUACAAGUAAACCAGAUAUGGCGAUGGCGACUAAAGUUGCUGUUUCCAUUUUUAUAGAAUUUCAAGAUUACAAUGGAUCUACGAAAAGAUCGUGUAUUUACAACUACAACGGAAUAGUAUACAAAGUCAACACCAAUGAUUAAAUAGAAUUUAUGGCUACACAAACCGUUGAAGAUAGUUCUAAACCUAGGCCAAAACGAACUGGUGCAGGUAGUUUACUGAAACCCUUGAAUUCGGAAUAUGGGAAAGUCGCCCCGGGUUGGGGGACUACUCCUUUUAUGGGGGUCGCAAUGGCUUUAUUCGCUAUAUUCCUAUCUAUCAUUUUAGAAAUUUAUAAUUCUUCCGUUUUACUGGACGGAAUUUUAACCAAUUAGGUUUCUACUAACUAAAACUAGGAAGUCUCCCAGAUAGGGGGACUUCUUACUUAAAUUAGUCUCCGUGUUCUUCGAAUGGAUCUCUUAAUUGUUGAGAGGGUUGCCCAAACGCGGUAUAUAAGGCAUACCCAGUAAAGCUUACAAGUAAACCAGAUAUGGAGAUGGCGACUAAAGUUGCUGUUUCCAUUUUUAUAGAAUUUCAAGAUUACAAUGGAUCUACGAAAAGAUCGUGUAUUUACAACUACAACGGAAUAGUAUACAAAGUCAACACCAAUGAUUAAAUAGAAUUUAUGGCUACACAAACCGUUGAAGAUAGUUCUAAACCUAGGCCAAAACGAACUGGUGCAGGUAGUUUACUGAAACCCUUGAAUUCGGAAUAUGGGAAAGUCGCCCCGGGUUGGGGGACUACUCCUUUUAUGGGGGUCGCAAUGGCUUUAUACGUUCCUUUUAGUUUCGACUUUAGGGAUAAUUUUUUUCGCUAUCUUCUUCCGAGAACCACCUAAGGUUCCACCAACUCCAACUAAAAGAAUAAAAUAAUUUCAUUUAAGUAAGAAGUCUCCCAGAUAGGGGGACUUCUUACUUAAAUUAGUCUCCGUGUUCUUCGAAUGGAUCUCUUAAUUGUUGAGAGGGUUGCCCAAACGCGGUAUAUAAGGCAUACCCAGUAAAGCUUACAAGUAAACCAGAUAUGGAGAUGGCGACUAAAGUUGCUGUUUCCAUUUUUAUAGAAUUUCAAGAUUACAAUGGAUCUACGAAAAGAUCGUGUAUUUACAACUACAACGGAAUAGUAUACAAAGUCAACACCAAUGAUUAAAUAGAAUUUAUGGCUACACAAACCGUUGAAGAUAGUUCUAAACCUAGGCCAAAACGAACUGGUGCAGGUAGUUUACUGAAACCCUUGAAUUCGGAAUAUGGGAAAGUCGCCCCGGGUUGGGGGACUACUCCUUUUAUGGGGGUCGCAAUGACUUUAUUUGCUAUAUUCCUAUCUAUCAUUUUAGAAAUUUAUAAUUCUUCCGUUUUACUGGACGGAAUUUUAACCAAUUAGGUUUCUACUAACUAAAACUAGGAAGUCAGAAUUUUUCCAUCCAAAAAAGCCUUUCUAGUUUAAGAUCUACAUUUCUAGAUAUUAUGGUAGUUCGACCGCAGAAUUUUUUUGUUUCGGUAUCUCUGGAAUAUGAGUGUGUGACUUGUUAGAAUUGAUCCUAUUGAUAAUACAUAGAAAGGGCCUGUUAUCUCUAUCAAGAUGAUUCUAAUUCGCCAUAUAUUAUUUAUUCUAGUAUCUGGAACACGAAAUAGAUAGAGUGGAUAAAAAAAUGGAACUAUGAUUCAUACUCACUAUUAAGACCUCGCAACCAGACUGAAAAAUUCAAGUAGUUCUUAAAUAAAAAUAAAAAAGAAAUUUUCUUCCUUCCAAUUUUGUUUGCCCAAAAGACAACUUUUUUUCUCUCGAUUUUGUCGAGUCAUUACACUGAUUCAAUAAAUGAUUAUCAAGCGGUUCUUAUUCGAAGAACCCUUGCCUUUUGUUUAGCUUGAGACUAAAUCAUCGUGGCUCUAGUAUGAAUCUAAGGUUUUAAUUGAACUGAUUCAUAGGAUCUCAACAAGAUAAUUUCUAUAUUAUGCAUAAAAAAACAAAUCCUUUAUAGGGAAGAGAAAAGUCAAGAAGCCUCUAAUGACCAACAUAAGGGAAAGGAAGAAAGAAAGACGCGCCAACUUGAGAUUUUUUGGCAUUAUCAUCACAAAGAAGAUAUUCCGGAUUUUUCUUAUUUGAUAUCUUCAAGGCAAAUCGACCCAAUUCAGUGGCUGAUGAAGUUUUGAACCUUUUUCUAAUAUUCGUUGAAAAGUUUUGUGUUUCUGCUUGAGCCGUACGAGAUGAAAUUUUCAUAUACGGCUCUUAGAGGGGGACUCGGGUUAGUUACCUAUCUCAAUAAAGUAUAUGAUUGGUUUGAGGAACGUCUUGAGAUUCAGGCAAUUGCAGAUGAUAUAACUAGUAAAUACGUUCCUCCCCAUGUCAACAUAUUUUAUUGUUUAGGGGGAAUUACACUUACUUGUUUUCUAGUACAAGUCGCUACCGGUUUUGCUAUGACUUUUUACUACCGACCAACCGUUACAGAGGCUUUUUCCUUGGUUCAAUACAUAAUGACCGAGGCCAACUUUGGUUGGUUAAUCCGAUCCGUUCAUCGAUGGUCAGCAAGUAUGAUGGUUUUAAUGAUGAUCCUGCAUGUAUUUCGUGUGUAUCUCACAGGGGGAUUUAAAAAACCCCGUGAAUUAACUUGGGUCACAGGUGUGGUUUUGGCUGUUUUGACUGCAUCAUUUGGUGUAACUGGUUAUUCUUUGCCUUGGGAUCAAAUUGGCUAUUGGGCAGUCAAAAUUGUGAAAGGUGUACCUGACGCCAUUCCGGUAAUAGGAUCGCCUUUAGUGGAGUUAUUACGCGGAAGUGCUAGUGUGGGCCAAUCCACUUUGACUCGUUUUUAUAGUGUACAUACCUUUGUACCGCCUCUGCUUACUGCCGUAUUUAUGUUAAUGCACUUUCCAAUGAUACGUAAGCAAGGUAUUUCGGGUCCUUUAUAGGGAAGGCAUAUCAUAGAGAAUUAUAAUUAUCAUAUAUCAUAUCGGGUAGGUUGUGGUAUUUCAUUGCUACAAGCAUGGGUUAUUGUAAAAUAACACAUGUCAUUUGGAUACUUCUCUUCAACUCCAAAGUAUUUUUAUACAAUACAAAUAGUUAAAGUUAAUUUUACGAAAGAAAAAAGGCGGAUUAUGGGAGUGUGUGACUUGAAUUAUUGAUUUGGCCAUGCAGAUAAAGAAUUGGAUCUGCCACAUUAGAAUUCACAACCAAAGGUGUCUCCGCAUCCAAUCAACAUGUAAGUCCCCUACCUAGGAAGGAUAGGCUGGUUCACUUGAGGAGAAUAUCUUCUAUGAUCAUACCGCAACCAUGUCAUCCAUGAACAGGCUCCGUAAGAUCCCAUAGAGUAGAAAUGGAAUAAGUCAUGUGACAUGAUCCAGUUCUCUAUUUAUUACACUUACCUUUUUAUUAUAGUAUGGAAAUGCAUUCAUUUUCUUUGCAUCGAUUGUGAUCCGCAAUACUAUCAGAGUAAAAGAAGGGAUCUAAGGAAGAAUGUAGGCUAAACUUUUUGAUUUUUUAUUAGUAACAAGUAAAUAUUUUGUUUGGAGGUAAGAAACUUGCGAUAUUGAGGGGAUAAAUACCAACUAAUCAAGAGACAUGAGACAAUCCACAAAGCAAUUGAUCAUGAUCAAAUUUGUAAGCCCACUUGGAUAUUGAGCAUUUACCCAUAAGAAUAGGAUUAUUUUCAAUGAGUAGUUGUAGGUGCAACUUGGGAAAAGAGAAUCUGAUAAAGCUUUUCUUGCCUAGAGUCAUUGAGUCAUUAUAUACCUUAAUUCUAUUAAGGAUCUUCCGCGGUCUUAUUUCUUUCACUCUUGCUCGAGCCGGAUGAUGAUAAAUUCUCAUGUCCGGUUCCUUUGGGGGAUGGAUCCUAAAGAGUUCACCUAUCCCAAUAACAAAGAAACCAGACUUAAAUGAUCCUGUAUUAAGAGCUAAAUUAGCUAAAGGGAUGGGACAUAAUUAUUACGGGGAACCCGCAUGGCCCAACGAUCUUUUAUAUAUUUUUCCAGUAGUAAUUCUAGGUACUAUUGCAUGCAAUGUAGGUUUAGCGGUUCUCGAGCCAUCAAUGAUUGGUGAACCGGCAGAUCCGUUUGCAACUCCUCUGGAAAUAUUACCCGAGUGGUACUUCUUUCCCGUGUUUCAAAUACUCCGUACGGUACCCAAUAAGUUAUUGGGCGUUCUCUUAAUGGUUUCUGUGCCAACAGGCUUAUUGACAGUACCUUUUCUAGAGAAUGUCAAUAAAUUUCAAAAUCCAUUUCGCCGCCCAGUAGCUACGACCGUUUUUUUAAUCGGUACUGUAGUAGCUCUUUGGUUAGGUAUUGGAGCAACAUUACCCAUUGAUAAAUCAUUAACUUUAGGUCUUUUUUAGAUAUUUUUUGAUUCAUUCAACCGUGAAGUACCAUAGGUAUCUAGGAAAUAGUUACUUCCAAGUGAAUCUUCCCUAGAUACCUAAAAUCCAUUUUAUUAUGAUCCAUUUCGCGAAAAUAUAGAUUGUACCAAAGAUGCUAAAUUGUUUUCUUUUUAUUCUACCUUGAAAAAGAAGAAAAAAAAUUGCAAUGGAUUUAAAACGAGAGUUUAUUCUUAAGUAAAUCAAUUGGGAGAUGCUUCUCUAGAGUGUCCCAUAUAUGUUUUCUAUCUUCCAUACGAAAACUGUCAAUUCUCAGAAGAUCUUCUUCAGUCUUACUCAAAAGGUCCAAUAGUGUAUGUAUAUUGGCCCUUUUUAGACAAUUAUACGUUCUAGAAGUCAAUUCUAAUUGAUCAAUAAAAAUACAAUUCAAUGGAAUUCCUUUUUUGUUUUUCUUUAGAUUAGUUAAUCUUUUUUGAAAAGUAAAAAGGGGUGGAGUAAACCUGUUUUUAUUUUCUUCGAAACUAGCGCCCUCUUCCUCCGCGUGUAGAAAAGGAAGAAAUAAAUCAAUCAAAUUACGAGAAGCCUCAUAAAGUGCUUCCUUAGGGGUUAGACUUCCAUUAGUCCAUAUUUCUAGAAAAAGUAUCUCUUGUUUUUCAUUUCCAUUCCCACAAGAAAAAAUACUAUAAUUCACAUUUCGAACAGGCAUGGAUACAACAUCUAUAGGAUAACUUCCAUCUUGAUAGUUCUUUCUGAGUUCUGUCUGAUAUCCACGAUCUCUCUUGAUCUGUAAAUCAAUACAGAAAUCAAUGGGCUCUGUCAAGUUAGCUAUAGGUUGUGCCGUAUCAACGAUUUCUACGGAAGGCGGUAAGAUGAUAUCUUGAGCAGUUAUGUAUCUAGGACCUUUGACGCAAAUGGAUGCGUCUCUAACUCCAUAGAGAUUACUUCUCAAUACAAUUUCUUUCAAAUUUAGUAAAAUUUCUUGUACGGAUUCUUCAAUACCUGCUAUUGUAGAAUAUUCGUGCGGCACGCUCCCAAAUUUUGCACGUGUGAUACAUGUUCCUUCUAUUUCUCCAAGUAAAGCUCUUCUCAAGGCAAUACCGACGGUGUCCGCUUGACCUUUUCUAAGCGGGGACAGAAUGAAACGACCAUAAUAAAGGCGCUUACUAUCUACUCUUGAUUCAACACACUUCCACUGUAGUGUUUGAGUGGAUCCUGCUACCUCCUCUCGAACCAUAAUAGACUAGUAUUAUUAUUUUAUCAUUGAAUCGUUUAUUUCUCUUGAAAUGAAAGUUGAAAGCGGGUUAAUUCUUUUACAGACGUCUUUUUUUAGGCGGUCGACAUCCAUUAUGUGGCAUAGGUGUUACAUCGCGUAUACAACUUAAUCGCACACCACUUUUAGCAAUGGCUCGUAAUGCGGCAUCUCUUCCACUACCAGCGCCCUUUACCAUAACUUCUGCUCGUUGCAAACCUACUGAACGAAUAGCAUCUACUGCUGUUCUUUGACCAGCAUUGGGUGAUGCUUUUCUUGAGCUUUUGAAUCCACAAGUACCGGCCGAGGACCAAAAAACCACCCGGCCUUGUGGGUCUGUAACAGUUAUAAUGGUAUUGUUGAAACUAGCUUGAACAUGAAUAACCCCUUUUGUUAUUCUACGUGCACUCUUCCGUAAACUAAAACGUGCAUUCCUACGUAAACCAAUACGCACUUUCUUACGUGAACCAAUUUUUGGUAUAGCUUUUGCCAUAUUUUAUUAUCUCAUAAAUAUGAGUUAGAAAUAAAAAAAAGAAAAAAAGAUACAAAGAUAUCCGUUUCAGGGUAAAAUAAACCCUUUACUUUAAUUAUUUUAAAUGAAAUUAUUUUAUUUGGAAUUGGAACAUUUCCGCGGGUACUUUUUUUACUUUUUAGAAAGUAAAGUUCUUUUUGAAAGAUUACCCCUGUCUUUGUUUAUGCUUCGGAUUAGAGGAAAUGACUCUAAUUCGUCCACGCCUACGAAUCAGUCGACAUUUUGUACAAAUUUUACGAACGGAAGCUCUUAUUUUCAUAUUUCCGUAUCUUUUUUUAAACUAUGAAUCUAAUCUUUUGGAAAAAGUAAGUCUCUUCGCUUGAAUUUUAGAACUUAGAAUUUAUUACCCUAGAAAAAAAAAGAAAAACCUAAUCCUUUGAAUCUUUGGUAUCCUUCAAAUCUUCGCUAUCCUUCAAAUCUUCACUAUCCUUCGAGUCUUCAAUACGCUUCGAAUCCUUAUGGGGAAGUCUAUAAAUUAUACGUCGCUUGCUUGAAUCAUAACGACUUACUUCAAUUUUGACCCUAUCCCCCAUCAGUAUUCGUAUAGAACUAGACCGUAUCUUUCCUGAAAUAUAGCCUAGGAUGAUGGUGUCAUUCUCUAGCCGAACGCGGAACAUUCCAUUGGGUAGGGCUUCCGUAACUAAACCUUCGAAAGUUACUUUUGCUUCUCUCGGGGUUUUUUUUCUCUCCUAUUUUUUUUUCUGUCAUAUUUUUUUUCUCCUAUUUUUCUAAUUUUAUUUUAAAAAUAGGAAGGGCGAGAUAGAAUUCGAGCACUAUAGGCGGGGCGAUUACCAUAUAUAAAAUAAGACUUCUCCCCAAUUCUGUUUAGUCAAGCUUCUCGAUCUGUCAUUAUUCCUCGAGAAGUAGAAAGAAUAGCAAUUCCCAUUCCACCCAAAACUUUAGGAAUUCCUUGAUAGUUGGUAUAAAUUCGUAAGCCGGGUCGGCUGAUACGCUUUAAAAAGGUUCUUGUUCUAUAUAUCCCUUUUCUAGUCUUUCUCUUUUGAUGUCGCAAAGUUGAAACUAAGAAAUAUCUGUUACGUUCCUGAUGUUUCCGAACACUUUCAAUAAAACCCUCUCGUAGAAGUAUUUUCACAAUGUUUUCGGUAAUAUUUGUAGAUACUACUCGAACUGUUCCUUUUUAUUCAUGUCCGCAUUUCUUAUAGAGGUUAGUAAAUCAGCAAUAGUGUCCUUGCCCAUAAGACUCUAAUUCUAGGUUCCUCCUAAUUUUUCUAUAAUCAACAUGUUUUCUUUUUUUUCCAUUUUGGAUUUUAAAACAUAUACGUAAAACACAAUCUACUAAAUUAAUUCUUUGAUCUCAAUUUCGCCUACUAGUAUUUAUAAUACUUCAGGAGCUAAUGAAACUAUUUUGGUAAAAUUCAAUCCUCUCAAUUCCUCGGCAAUCGCGCCAAAAACUCGAGUUCCUUUUGGAUUGCCUUUUUGAUCAAUUAUAACCGCAGCAUUGUCAUCAUAGCGGAUUAUUAUACCGUCUUCGCAUUUGAACUCUUUACAUGUACGUACAAUUACAGCUCGAAUUACUUCGGAUCUUUCUAGAGGCAUUUGGGGCAAUGCGUCUUUGAUUACAGCAACAAUAACAUCACCAAUACGAGCAUAUCGCUGAUUACCAGCAGCUCCUAUGACUCGAAUACACAUCAAUUUUCGAGCUCCACUAUUAUCUGCUACAUUUAAAAGGGUCUGAGGUUGAAUCAUAUUAUUUUGAUUUCAAUUUGUUAUUUCAAUGCAAAAGGAUGAAAGAAAUAUUGUCUUUCCAAAAAGAAAAACCGGGCAUUUUUUUUAUCUUCCAUACCCCUUUUAGGGUUCUAUAUCUCUAAUCGAAUAAAUUGACUUCGUAUGGGCAUUUUACUGGCAGCUAUGGAGAUAGCUGCUCUAGCUACAGUUUCAGAUACUCCCCCCAUUUCAUAAAGUAUACGACCAGGUUUAACAACGGAUACCCAAUAUUUGGGGGACCCCUUUCCCGAGCCCAUACGUGUUUCUGUGGGUCUUAGUGUAACCGGUUUGUCGGGAAAUAUACGUACCCAUAUUUUUCCACCACGACGUGCAUAUCGUGUUAUUGCUCUUCGUCCUGCUUCUAUCUGUCUCGCCGUGAUCCAAGCGGGUUCAAGUGCUUGAAGAGCAUAUCUACCAAAACAAAUACGAUUGCCUUGGCAAGAUUUUCCUUUCAUUCUUCCUCUAUGUUGUUUGCGAAAUCUGGUUCUUUUGGGGUUAUAGUCGAUGGUUCUCUUUCUUAGUUCUAUCUCUACUGCAAAACUGGACAUGAGAGUUUCUUCUCAUCCAGCUCCUCGCGAAUGGAAUGAGAAAGCAUGUAAAUUUAUCUAAUUCAUAAUAUUCCAAAAUAUUACGGUACGGAUAGAUACACAUUAAUAGAUAAUAGAAAAAGUUCGGUUUUUUUAUAUUGAAUUUGUUAAAACAGAAAAAUAUAAUAUAUAGUCAAAAAAGAAGAUCUAGAAUAUAUCCAGAUGUGUGUGUAUAUUUACCUAAAUUCUAUAUUUAUAGAUAAUGUAAUCCUUCUUAAAAAAAUCCUUAUUUUGACUCUUAUUGAAUCACGGUAAAGUAUUCUAAUUCAAUAAGAAUUUCGCGGGCGAAUAUUUACUCUUUCCUGUCUUAUUUGUUAAUUUAUAAACUUACCAAAUAAGACAAUUUUUUUGGUUUGUUCCGCCAUCCCACCCAAUGAAGUGUUAGGAUUCUUUUCAAUAAAAUCUUAUGGAAUCGUAGGUUCUGUCGUUCCCACUGCUUCUCCUUGAAUGGUUAGGUCUGAAUCCCGCAACGGAGCUUCCAAAAAAUUUCUUUCCGAGUUAAUUUUCUCAGUUUUAUUAACCCGGGCGGCUCUUUAUUAUUGCUUUAAAUUUGUAGUUCUUGUUUCAAGUUAAAAUUUUUAAUUCUCUAUUAUUUUUCUUAUAUUGAUGCUUUAUCACAUUGCCUUUUAUGAUGUAAUUCAUAGACCAUACAUAGUGGAAUCCUAUAUCUUAUUUAUUUCCUCUUCCUUCUUUCUAUCAUCCCUCCCUUUAUCCACAUCCCUUUAGUUUUGCUUCACAACCUAGAAUCCCUUUUCUUUUUUAGAGAAAAAAUUGCAGUUGCUACAACUAUAUGACACAUCUACUCAUUUAUGAUAGAGGUAUUUAUUCAUAUAGUGACUGUUUCUUAGUUAGGAUCUCGACAAUACGAAGCAAUAGGUUGGUUAUUAGUUAAUUUUCUAUAAUUACUAAGUUUUUUCCGAAAAAAAGAAAAAAAUAACGAGUCACACACUAAGCAUAGCAAUUAUAUUAAAUGAUUUAUCAAUUUUCAUUAAAUCUUAUAGAAAGAGGUAUAAUUUCUUCUUUUGCAGGGAUUUUAGGAAAAAAGUCUCUUGUCAUUUUUUAUUCUAUCAAUGGACAGAAUCCGAAGACAAGAUUACUUAUUCUUCGUCUACGAAUAUCCAAAUUUUUACACCUAAUACUCCAUAGAUAGUCCGAAUUGGAUAGCAGCAAUAAUCAAUUUUAGCGCGAAUUGUUUGGAGGGGAAGUCUACCCUUUUUAAUGGAUUCGGCGCGUGCAAUUUCUUUUCCUCCGAGACGACCCGCAAUUUUUACUUUUACUCCCCUUAUAUCUGCUUUUUUAGUUAAUUCAAUGCCUUUUUUCAUUGCCUUUCGGAAUGAAACUCUAUUUUUUAAUUGGAAAGCUAUAUAUUCUGCAAGAAUGUUAGGCUGUCUAUAAGGUUCUUUAACUUUUUUGAUAGAAAUAUUAAAUCUCUGGUUUACAGAGUUAAUUUCCUUUUGUAGAUCUUUCUCUAAUUCUUCGAUUGCUCCUUUUUUCUUUAAUAAAUUUGGGAAUCCAAUAUGGAUUAUGACGUGGAUCGUAUCGAUUUCUUUUUGGAUUUCUAUAUGUGUAAUUACUUCGGAACUUGAACCUGAGUCCAUUUUUCUAUUAUGUGUAAUUACUUCGGAACUUGAGUCUGAUUCUAUUUUUCUAUUUGAGCCCUUUUUCCUAUUCUUUUGUAUAUAGUUCUUGAUACAAUCCCUUAUUUUUUUUAUCUUCCUGUAGACCUUCCGAAUAAUUUUUUGGUUGUGCGAACCAAAAGGAAUGGUGUUUUUGGGUUGUACCAAGUCUGAAACCGAGUGGAUUUAUUUUUUGUCCCAUAUUUUUCUAUUCUAUAUUUUUUUACUGGGAAUCGAAAUCUUAGAUGGAUCUAAAGGUUAUUUAGAUUUCUUUACUAUAGAUUUCUUAACUAUAUUUAGUACAAUUGUUAUAUGACACAUGCUUUUUUUAUGGGGAAACUACGUCCUCGAGCUCGAGGUCUGAAUUUCUUCAUAAUAGUACUCCUACUGACUUCGGCUUUAGUAAUAAAUAAAUUUGCUUUGUAGAAAUCCCUAUAAUGAGUAGCAUUUGCGGCUGCCGAAUAAACCAACUUUAAGAUGGGAUAAGAUGCUCGAUAGGGCAUGAGGUUCAGUAUCAUAACAGUUUCCUCGUAGUAACGCCAGCGAAUCUCGUCAAGAACUCUUUGUGCUUUGAAAACAGACAUAGGGAUACGUUUUUGUGCUUUGAAAACUCUCUCAAACUUAAGUAGACGAUCGGUUGGAACUUUCAUUGCGAGUUUCCUUAGCCCACUUUUCUUCUUCUUUAUCCUAGGGAUAUACUUUACUAGUUUGACAC